GGAGUCGGGGAAGCCGCGGUCGCCGCCGGGACCUGCAAGGGAAGUCUAAACCGGAGGUGGGGUUGCUCCGACAAGACCCUCCGAUGCUCAAGUCAGUUCUCUGCCUCAACAAGAAUGGAGUGCUCGAACGGAGAAUUUAGCAGAGUUUUGAGAUAAAAAAAUGAGCUUAGAGAAUAACGUAUCUGGGUCCCCCUUUUAUAGGCGGAGGGGGCAAUGGAUUGAUGGCGACAUUUGUAACCGUCUGGUAGUGGGCCGCCUAUGGUCAGAGGAAUUUAUUGCGAAGGGUAGUGGGGUAGACCCGUGGCUAUUGUCAUAGCCUGCCACGUAGGGCCUGUAGCAGGUAGUGGAGCGACGUCCGUUGCUAGCUGUCAGUGAGUAGUGGGAUCGUGCAGCACCUGCCGCAGGGAGCGGAGCAGAAUCGUGGCUGUUGAUACAGCCUGUCAGGGAGUGAUGGGUCCGCCGCUGGAGCCGCGUGGAAUCCGCUGCAGGACGUGGAACAAGAUCAUGGUUGUUAUCACGAUCUGCCAAGGGGCGCAGAUCCGUUGAUCGAGGUUCGGCCGCGGUCGGAGUCCGGCCUCUGUAGGAGUCUGUGAAGGGUCCUCCUUUCGGUUGGGGUUGUAGGUGGAGUCCGGCUCCCGUGGGAGUCCGGACGAAGCU
rnacentral:lncRNA from 1 species